rnacentral:lncRNA from 1 species
UGUGUGUAUGAAUACCUUUUCUCUUUUUGUUUUUAAUCUGUUGGGAUGUGGGUAUGUGUAGCUUGUUGGAACUCCCCAAAAUUUGUGUUCUUUUUGUAUUGUAAUGAUUGAUGCUCAGACUCUUAAGUUCUAUGUGAUUCUCUAAGUACUUGCAGGAUUAUAUUUCCCUGCCCAUCACCUGGUAUGUUAAAAAACAUUUUCU